rnacentral:rRNA from 1 species
UGGGGAAUAUUGCACAAUGGGCGCAAGCCUGAUGCAGCCAUGCCGCGUGUAUGAAGAAGGCCUUAGGGUUGUAAAGCACUUUCAGCGAGGAGGAAGGCGUUGUAGUUAAUAGCUGCAACGAUUGACGUUACUCGCAGAAGAAGCCCCGGCUAACUCCGUG